GACCAGACUCCUACGGGAGGCAGCAGUGGGGAAUAUUGCACAAUGGGGGAAACCCUGAUGCAGCGACGCCGCGUGAAGGAAGAAGUAUUUCGGUAUGUAAACUUCUAUCAGCAGGGAAGAAAAUGACGGUACCUGACUAAGAAGCCCCGGCUAACUACGUGCCAGCAGCCGCGGUAAUACGUAGGGGGCAAGCGUUAUCCGGAUUUACUGGGUGUAAGGGGAGCGUAGACGGCAUGGCAAGUCAGAUGUGAAAGCCCGGGGCUCAACCCCGGGACUGCAUUUGAAACUGUCAGGCUGGAGUGCAGGAGAGGUAAGUGGAAUUCCUAGUGUAGCGGUGAAAUGCGUAGAUAUUAGGAGGAACACCAGUGGCGAAGGCGGCUUACUGGACUGUAACUGACGUUGAGGCUCGAAAGCGUGGGGAGCAAACAGGAUUAGAUACCCCAGUA
rnacentral:rRNA from 1 species